GUAGGUGAACCUGCGGAAGGAUCAUUAUUGAAAUAAACCUGAUAAGUUGCUGCUGGUUCUCUAGGGAGCAUGUGCACACUUGUCAUCUUUGUAUCUUCACCUGUGCAUCUUUUGUAGACCUGAGAAUCUCUCUGAAUGCUUUUAGCACUCAGGAUUGAGGAUUGACUUGAUGUCUUUUCUUACAUUUUCAGGCCUAUGUUUUUCAUAUACCCUAAUGUAUGUUUAUAGAAUGUAAUGAAUGGGCCUUUGUGCCUAUAAACAUUUACAACUUUCAGCAACGGAUCUCUUGGCUCUC
rnacentral:misc_RNA from 1 species